rnacentral:SRP_RNA from 1 species
GCCGGGUGUGGUGGUGCACGCCUGUAAUCUCAGCUACUCGGGAGGCUGAGGCAGGAGAAUCGCUUGAACCCAGGAGGCUGAAGUUGCAGUGAGCUGAGAUCACGCCAUUGCACUCCACCCUGGGCAACAGAGUGAGACUCUGUCUCAA